GACGAACGCUGGCGGCGUGCCUAAUACAUGCAAGUCGAACGAACUCUGGUAUUGAUUGGUGCUUGCAUCAUGAUUUACAUUUGAGUGAGUGGCGAACUGGUGAGUAACACGUGGGAAACCUGCCCAGAAGCGGGGGAUAACACCUGGAAACAGAUGCUAAUACCGCAUAACAACUUGGACCGCAUGGUCCGAGUUUGAAAGAUGGCUUCGGCUAUCACUUUUGGAUGGUCCCGCGGCGUAUUAGCUAGAUGGUGAGGUAACGGCUCACCAUGGCAAUGAUACGUAGCCGACCUGAGAGGGUAAUCGGCCACAUUGGGACUGAGACACGGCCCAAACUCCUACGGGAGGCAGCAGUAGGGAAUCUUCCACAAUGGACGAAAGUCUGAUGGAGCAACGCCGCGUGAGUGAAGAAGGGUUUCGGCUCGUAAAACUCUGUUGUUAAAGAAGAACAUAUCUGAGAGUAACUGUUCAGGUAUUGACGGUAUUUAACCAGAAAGCCACGGCUAACUACGUGCCAGCAGCCGCGGUAAUACGUAGGUGGCAAGCGUUGUCCGGAUUUAUUGGGCGUAAAGCGAGCGCAGGCGGUUUUUUAAGUCUGAUGUGAAAGCCUUCGGCUCAACCGAAGAAGUGCAUCGGAAACUGGGGAACUUGAGUGCAGAAGAGGACAGUGGAACUCCAUGUGUAGCGGUGAAAUGCGUAGAUAUAUGGAAGAACACCAGUGGCGAAGGCGGCUGUCUGGUCUGUAACUGACGCUGAGGCUCGAAAGUAUGGGUAGCAAACAGGAUUAGAUACCCUGGUAGUCCAUACCGUAAACGAUGAAUGCUAAGUGUUGGAGGGUUUCCGCCCUUCAGUGCUGCAGCUAACGCAUUAAGCAUUCCGCCUGGGGAGUACGGCCGCAAGGCUGAAACUCAAAGGAAUUGACGGGGGCCCGCACAAGCGGUGGAGCAUGUGGUUUAAUUCGAAGCUACGCGAAGAACCUUACCAGGUCUUGACAUACUAUGCAAAUCUAAGAGAUUAGACGUUCCCUUCGGGGACAUGGAUACAGGUGGUGCAUGGUUGUCGUCAGCUCGUGUCGUGAGAUGUUGGGUUAAGUCCCGCAACGAGCGCAACCCUUAUUAUCAGUUGCCAGCAUUAAGUUGGGCACUCUGGUGAGACUGCCGGUGACAAACCGGAGGAAGGUGGGGAUGACGUCAAAUCAUCAUGCCCCUUAUGACCUGGGCUACACACGUGCUACAAUGGAUGGUACAACGAGUUGCGAACUCGCGAGAGUAAGCUAAUCUCUUAAAGCCAUUCUCAGUUCGGAUUGUAGGCUGCAACUCGCCUACAUGAAGUCGGAAUCGCUAGUAAUCGCGGAUCAGCAUGCCGCGGUGAAUACGUUCCCGAGCCUUGUACACACCGCCCGUCACACCAUGAGAGUUUGUAACACCCAAAGUCGGUGGGGUAACCUUUUAGGAACCAGCCGCCUAAGGUGGGACAGAUGAUUAGGGUG
rnacentral:rRNA from 1 species